UGUAUAUAGGUUCUUCCUUUUGUAAUGGUUAUCGUUUUAGAACUUGAGAGCCCCUUUUUAGGUUUUAGUGGAAGGAGAUGGAGAAAGAAGGAGAAAAUAAAAAUUGAGAUACAAGUAAAAUUAGUAAAAGAAUAUUCCAUUGUAGAAAUGAAUGGCAUGGGAGAAAUUUAUGCAAGAGAGAUUGCUCUUGUAAUGCAGCGCAAGAAUUUUGGAGAAAAUAUUUUGGAUGUGAUUACGAAUAGGAAAAAACAGGGGGAAACAAGUUUCUCGAGUUUCUCUUCACGAGUUUCAGCCACUUUCCCUGACGCAAGGUCGGGGUCGUUGCGAAUAGGACAAAUAUACACAAUGCCUUUGAAGGAUGAGGUUCCAGUUCAGCUCCUACUUCACGACUCUCUUUCCAGAAACCCAUUCUCUCCCUUCUUUCUCCUUCAAACUUCUUUCUACCAAAAUUCUACAACUCCAAUUCUUGCACCGCUGUCGCCUUUAGGAUCGUAUGAACGAGCUCUACAAGAUAAGUGUGGUUUGGGAGAAUGGUGGUCACUACUAGGCAGCUCAUUGAAGGUUGAGGAUUACUUUGGAGCUGUUAAGUAGGUGAAGAAUCUACCUUGGGCUGAACCUACAGAGAACUCAGUGUAAUUUUGGGUUGAAAUGGAAGUUGGAUGACAUGAAAGGAGGAUUCAGACCAAAAUUCAGCCUCCAGCCCGAAGUGAAAAUCUGCGUCUGCUAAACUCUGCAGGAAAUGUGGCCACAUUGCCAGAAUCCUUUGUAGUAUCUAAAAUUUGGUGCCCCAAUUUUACAUUUUUUUGUUACAUUGGAGGGAAUCGAACCUGGGAUUGUCCUAAUCCGAACCCGGUUAAGGAAUAAUCCAAAGCCUCUCGGGCUCAGAUUUUAUAGCAAACCACAGAACCAAAUUAUGGAGAUCCUAUUUCCUUGUUUCCACUAUGUUCACUAUAAUGCAAAUUCUGUUAAUAGGGUAACAUGUCAUUAUGUAACAACCCGCGGCUUCAUGAAGUUUCAAGUAUUGGAGCAGAUGAUAGACGAGCAUUGAGCACUACAGAAAACUGAGAAGAAGGCUAGAAUAGAUGAGCAACGUAAUAGACAACCCACAUAUAAGAGAAAACCGAUCGAGUGUCUUUUGAUUCAGAAUUGGAAGGGCUUAAUUAUUGAUUGGCCCCAUGAAACUUAAUUGUAUUCUCAUUUUUCUCAAUGAAACUCAA